rnacentral:rRNA from 1 species
GAUGAACGCUGGCGGCGUGCCUAAUACAUGCAAGUCGAGCGAAAAGACGAGGAGCUUGCUCCGCUGACGUUAGCGGAGGGCGGGUGAGACACACGUGGAUCACCUACCUGUAAGACUGGGAUAACUUCGGGACACCGGCGCUAAUAGCGGAGAAUAUAUUGAACCGCAUGGGUCAAUAGUGAAAGACGGUGUUGCUGUCACUUAUCGAUGGAUACGCGCCGCAUUAGCUAGUUGGUAAGGUAACGGCCUAGCAAGGCAACGAUGCGUAGCCGACCUGAUAGAGUGAUAGGCGACACGGGAAGGGAGACACGGUCCAGACUACUACGGGAGGGCGCAGUAGGGAAUCGGCCGCAACGGGGGAAAGCCUGACGGAGCAAGGCCGCGUGAGUGAUGGAGGUCCUGGGAGCGGAAUGCUCUGUUACUAGUGAAGAACCAAUGUGUAAGGAACUAUGCACGUCGUGACGGUACCUAAUCAGAAAGCCACGGCUAACUACGUG